CCCUUAGAUGUUCUGGGCCGCACGCGCGCUACACUGAUGCAUUCAACAAGCCUAGCCUUGACCGAGAGGUCCGGGUAAUCUUUGAAACUGCAUCGUGAUGGGGCUAGAUUAUUGCAAUUAUUAAUCUUCAACGAGGAAUGCCUAGUAAGCGUGAUUCAUCAAAUCGCGUUGAUUACGUCCCUGCCCUUUGUACACACCGCCCGUCGCUCCUACCGAUUGAAUGGCUUAGUGAGCUGCAGAGAUUGAGCGAUUGUAGGUUUCCUACUUUUGUCUCGAGAACUGCAUCAAACUUGAUCAUUUAGAGGAAGUAAAAGUCGUAACA
rnacentral:rRNA from 1 species